rnacentral:tRNA from 1 species
GCCUGGGUGGCUCAGUUGGUUGAGCACCCAACUUCAGCUCAGGUCAUGGUCUCACAGCUUGUGGGUUUGAGCCCCGCAUCAGGCU